UGCAUCAGGUGAUGAAAUUGGAAAAAUCUUAGGACACCUUCCAACACGGCAGUAUUGCCGUGGAUGAGAAAAAAAAUUCCAUGCUGAUGAUGUA